rnacentral:rRNA from 1 species
CUACGGGAGGCAGCAGUGGGGAAUAUUGGACAAUGGGCGCAAGCCUGAUCCAGCAAUGCCGCGUGAGUGAUGAAGGCCCUCGGGUCGUAAAGCUCUUUUACCAGGGAUGAUAAUGACAGUACCUGGAGAAUAAGCUCCGGCUAACUCCGUGCCAGCAGCCGCGGUAAUA